rnacentral:rRNA from 1 species
GUGGGGAAUAUUGCGCAAUGGGGGAAACCCUGACGCAGCAACGCCGCGUGCGUGAGGAAGGACUUCGGUCGGUAAAGCUCUGUUAAUGUGGAAAAAUGGUAGUUGGUCUAAUAGGCCGAUUAUUUGCUGGUACACAUAGAGGAAGCACCGGCUAACUUCGUGCCAGCAGCCGCGGUAAUACGAAGGGUGCAAGCGUUGUUCGGAUUUAUUGGGCGUAAAGCGCGCGUAGGCGGACCUGCAAGUCAGAUGUGAAAGCUCGGGGCUCAACCUCGAAACGGCGUCUGAAACUACAGGUCUAGAAUCUCGGAGGGGGAAGGGGAAUAUCGCAUGUAGGGGUAAAAUCCGUAGAUAUGCGAUGGAACACCAGAGGCGAAGGCGCCUUCCUGAACGAGUAUUGACGCUGAGGCGCGAAAGCGUGGGGAUCAAACAGGAUUAGAUACCCUAGUAGUCC